CCUACGGGGGGCAGCAGUGGGGAAUAUUGCACAAUGGGCGCAAGCCUGAUGCAGCCAUGCCGCGUGUGUGAAGAAGGCCUUCGGGUUGUAAAGCACUUUCAGCGGGGAGGAAGGCGGUGAGGUUAAUAACCUCAUCGAUUGACGUUACCCGCAGAAGAAGCACCGGCUAACUCCGUGCCAGCAGCCGCGGUAAUACGGAGGGUGCAAGCGUUAAUCGGAAUUACUGGGCGUAAAGCGCACGCAGGCGGUCUGUCAAGUCGGAUGUGAAAUCCCCGGGCUCAACCUGGGAACUGCAUUCGAAACUGGAAGGCUAGAGUCUUGUAGAGGGGGGUAGAAUUCCAGGUGUAGCGGUGAAAUGCGUAGAGAUCUGGAGGAAUACCGGUGGCGAAGGCGGCCCCCUGGACAAAGACUGACGCUCAGGUGCGAAAGCGUGGGGAGCAAACAGGAUUAGAUACCCUUGUAGGC
rnacentral:rRNA from 1 species